rnacentral:rRNA from 1 species
GAUCAUGGCUCAGGAUGAACGCUAGCUACAGGCUUAACACAUGCAAGUCGAGGGGCAUCAGGAAGAAAGCUUGCUUUCUUUGCUGGCGGCCGGCGCACGGGUGAGUAACAUGUAUCCAACCUGCCCUUUACUCGGGGAUAGCCUUUCGAAAGAAAGAUUAAUACCCGAUGGCAUAAUGAUUCCGCAUGGUUUCAUUAUUAAAGGAUUCCGGUAAAGGAUGGGGAUGCGUUCCAUUAGGUUGUUGG